rnacentral:rRNA from 1 species
AGUGGGGAAUCUUGGACAAUGGGGGCAACCCUGAUCCAGCCAUGCCGCGUGAGUGAUGAAGGCCCUAGGGUCGUAAAGCUCUUUCGCCUGUGAAGAUAAUGACGGUAGCAGGUAAAGAAACCCCGGCUAACUCCGUGCCAGCAGCCGCGGUAAUACGGAGGGGGUUAGCGUUGUUCGGAAUUACUGGGCGUAAAGCGCACGUAGGCGGAUCGGAAAGUUGGGGGUGAAAUCCCGGGGCUCAACCCCGGAACGGCCUCCAAAACUAUCGGUCUAGAGUUCGAGAGAGGUGAGUGGAAUUCCGAGUGUAGAGGUGAAAUUCGUAGAUAUUCGGAGGAACACCAGUGGCGAAGGCGGCUCACUGGCUCGAUACUGACGCUGAGGUGCGAAAGUGUGGGGAGCAAA